ACACAGGCAGAGCAGCUGUUCGCCGAGCAGCCGAUACACAAACCCACCACUGGCGCUUUGCGAUGACGUCACCGAGGGGGGCCGCGCUCGGGACCAAUCACAAGGGCCUAAAGAAGACACGAUUUAAAUGCCAGACGUUGUUGUAAAUCUGUACAUCAAUAAAGAAGAAAAGGAUUUGGAGCUGUGAACUCAAAGAAAGGAUCUGACUAACACUGUUCACCUCAGAUAAGUUCAUUCCAGUUCACCUAGACAGUCAAAGCAGAUCAGCUGAAUAUUGAGAAUUUGCAAUUAAGUAUAUCUGUUUCAGUAUUUUGUGUCAAUUUCCCUUCAUAAUCCACAUUAUUUUACAUGACAUCUUUCAGUAACUAUCAGAAAUGAUCAGGAAAGUACCCAAGAUUAAGAUUUUAUUGAGUUUGCGACAACAAUAAUCUAAAAAGCAGUAGGUUAGAGGCUACAUUUUCAUUGUGGCACAUUGUCCUCAGAAGUAAAGACUUGUUAAAGUCUAAUAGCACUGCAAAUAUACACUUGAACACAACAAAUUAUUUUUUGUCUGCGUCCCCUUCUCAGUAUCUCUCUUCAGUAUGUAAUAAACAGGUAGUUAUUUAAAGGUUAGUGUACACAACACAUGUUCACCAUACUGCUGUUUCCCAGGUUGGAUAAUGUUUAAUCGUAGUACUCAGUGCAUGGAAAAAUCCUUGAAAGAUAGAGUAAGAAAAAAGCUGAGGAUUGCUGUAUAUUCACACACUGUAUCUCCUCCUGUUGUGUUUAAGCUCUUUAGUUGCAGAAUAUAAUCAUGAAGUAAUCAUUCUCCUGACCCUGUUUGCUGCAGCUUGUAAGUUCGAGCAUUUUUUAGAGUUCAAACUCUCUGUUUGUAUGGAAGUUGCUGGUCCCAUUGAUGAGGAUGAAAAGAUUCAAAUGUCAUCUUCACUGUUUCUUCAGGUGGACGUAUCAAACCUGAGGACACCUCUGCUCACCUCUUAUUCUCUGGUGGCCCUGGUGUGACGGUUUGCUGCAGGGUGUGGUGUCCUGGGGCUACGGCUGUGCCCAGAGGAACAAGCCUGGAGUCUACACCAAGGUCUGCAACUACACCUCCUGGAUCCGCAGCACCAUGUCCUCCAACUAAAAUCACUGAAUCAGCUUUCACAAUAAAACAAAUGAUCUACAUGAACCUCACUCUACGUCAGUCCUUCCAAAUAUUUCCCAAAUGAAGAGAAUCAGCAGGAGGGGAAAUAAGAUAAAUGUCAAUCUUCUAUAGUAAAUAAAUAAAAGAUAAAUCAGCCAGACGCCUGCAUUAAUAUGAAAAAAUAUAUAACCAUAUAUGUAAAAAACAAAUACAAGUGUCAUAAAAUAAAAUACCUUUCGACAAUAUUAGAGAUAAAACGAAAAUUUGAACUAAUGAAUUAAAGUUGAAAGCAUUCAUAUGUUUCUGCACAUCAAUAGAUAACAUUUGGAAAAAGCAGUGUUCAGUAUUUGACAAAUAUUUAUGGGUUCCCCAAAAACAAUUAUGGCAUUGAACGGAUUUUAAGUGAAUGAUUAUUAAAAAAUCCUUCAUUUAUAAAUAAUGAUCAAAUCAGCUAAAAUAUAUAGGUAACAAUUUAGGAGAUCUCAGUCACGUUGGAUAUAAAAGAUACAAAUAAUGUUCAUCAUACUUUGGAUAUUUACAACUAAUUUUGUCUAGAGAUACACAUGUGUGUGCUUCACUUCACUAAUGUAACUGAGGAGGAUACUACUAAAGAAUUUACUUUAGGAUACAUCUAACGAUUAUAAACAGGAAACAUUAAAAAAAAUCCAAAAAACAUAUCUUAGGGCAAGUAUUGUUCCUACAUAAAAUAUGGAACUUAAUGUAUCACACCUACAGUAUUGAUAUAUUUAGUAACAAUGUGGGACAGAGUAGAUUUUUAUUACAUUUGCAAGUGGGAAUUUGUUUAAAAAAGAAGUUGGAGAUUGUGUUGUUUUAUGGUUUUUGGACAAAGUUGUUUUCUGUCAACGAGAAACAUUCUGACGAAUAAUUUAAACCGGAUGUACACCUUACAACCUAAUAAAAACCUUCGGGUUUUCCUCCACAUUGUGGAAUCACAUGCAUGUUGAUAUGAGAUGAACCAAUGUAGGAAUGUAUGUACCCAAUGUAUGUACCCACAGUGUAGGAAGGAGAGGUUCCGCAGGUCCUUCAUCCCGGCUGCAGUCAGGCUCUACAAUACCAGCAACACCUGAUAACGUUGUAGUCCCUGUCUAUUAUCUCUAUCUCCACUAAACCCCUCACCAUAGCUGUAUUUGUAUUUUUAUUUUUCUUAUUUAUGUUUGUGUACAACACUUACCAUCUAUAUUUAUAUCAUGGUCACUUAAAAUGGUUACAUUGCAAUAUUUAUAUUUCCAGUAUGCUAUCUUGUAGUAUUAUUUAUAUUAUGGUCACUUACUUCUUAAUUAUUUUUAAUUAUUUUCUGUAUCAUGGUCACUACUGUUGCAUAUUUUUGUUUUCAUUACAAUAACACUUAACAUCAUUCCACUUUAUCCCCAGCACCUGCUUUUGCACAGUGUCUGUUUUGCAGGUUUUUUGUUUCUGUACACUUAUUAUGUGUAGUUUUAGUAGUGUACAUAUUGUGAUCUUUUUCUUUUUUUUUUAUUGUGCUUCGGCACUGUUACUUUAAUUCUGUUUUUCUAUCAUUGCUGUAACAAGUGAAUUUCCCCAUUGUGUGGAUAAAUAAAGAAAUCUAAUCUAA